UACGAAGGUCCCGAGCGUUAUCCGGAUUUAUUGGGUUUAAAGGGUGCGUAGGCGGGUUAUUAAGUCAGUGGUGAAAUCCUACAGCUUAACUGUAGAAUUGCCAUUGAUACUGAUGAUCUUGAGUAUGAUUGAGGUGGGCGGAAUGUGUCAUGUAGCGGUGAAAUGCUUAGAUAUGACACAGAACACCGAUUGCGAAGGCAGCUCACUAAGCCAUAACUGACGCUGAUGCACGAAAGCGUGGGGAGCAAACAGG
rnacentral:rRNA from 1 species